AACCCCAUCAACCGGAAGGAAUUCCUUCCGAUCAAUGAGGUGGAACAGCCUCAUCGACCGGAAGGAAUCCCUUCCGGCCGAUGAGGCC
rnacentral:miRNA from 1 species